rnacentral:lncRNA from 1 species
AACUGUAGAAUAUGCCGUCGAUGUGGUGUUAGGUCAUCAGGCCAGUGGGCCAAUCACCCAUUUCUGUGCAAGCCAUGUGACCCAGCUCUGCCUUGUCCUGUCUGUGACAGCUCCCCUGAACCCUACAAACCACAGGAGACUCUGACUUGUAUCUGCUGCUUCAGGUAGCCACAUCUCAGCUACAUCUGCGUUUGCACGUUCUGCGUUGCUCCCUGCUGACCUUCAGGCUGCUCAGAAAUCAGAAAUCUGACAAGGAUUUCCCACUGUGGGUCAGAUUCAUCUGAAAGUUUAGACUUUUAAGUAUGUUUCCUCCUUGUGGUGCAUUUCACCUCUGAUCUUGGUGGCACCAGUGAAAGCCGAACCCAUAAUGUGACCUGGUGACAGCACCACUCUGUUUAGCUAAAAAUAGGACAUUCCAAAAACACGGCAAAAUCAGCAAAACUGUGCUAAACUGCCAUUAAUCGAAUGCAGUUAACUAGGAGUAAUGUUCAGAAUAGUUAACCUGAUCCAUGCGCAGUGCUCAAAAAUGGCACUUCCAAAACUCAAAUAGCUUCAUGAUUGAUCUGAACAUGUGGUUCACCACGUUGGUGGAGCAGAGAAAAGCUUCAAAUCUGGAUGUGUUGGCUUAAUCUUGCGUUAUUGAGCAUCACACAUUACAGACAUGGAUGAAACCUAACAGGUCUAAUUAUUCUGCAGAGAGACGGACGGUCCUCGGUCCUUAUCUGGACAUUUGACACCCUUGAGCAGUGGCUCAAAUUCUGUGGGUUGAUCAAAAUUCCCCCAUCUGUCCAUAGUUGGGCAUAACACUUUUCCUACGUUUCCAUUGACAUUAUUUAAUUCAGUUCUCAGCAGAACAACAUCCUGUCCAGUAUUAAAAACCACUCAGACCUCACACAUCAAUGUCAAACCACACUUUAGAGUUCUUCCAACAUGUCUUGCACCUCAUUCUCAGUUUUCUCUCACGCAGGUGUGUCCAUACUGAUUGUGCCAGUGGAUGGCAGAGAGAGGGCAGGGUGGGACCUGAAGAUUAUAUCUGCUCUACCUGCAGACCUAAGGAAGGGGAACUAGUACCCAACCGGCCUACGCAGCCACCAAGUUUCUUCAUUUCACUGCCAACAGAUCCAGACGACAAAGACACUAUCUCCCUCCAUAUUCCAGCCCAGUUCAUCUCUUCAGAGCCAUCACAGGAGCCAGUAAAGCCUGAGUGUACACCACUACCAGCAGAACCUCAAUGUAGUCCCUCACUUCAGCAGAACACCACAGAUCCACAUAUUCAUCCUGCACCAUGUCGGGCAGAAUCCACAGAGGUCCAACACAGUUCUGCUGUGCCAACAAGUCCUGCCCAACAAUCUCCACACCCUGAAUCUGAAUCAAAAGACAUCCAUUAUUUUCAGGAACCACCACACCAGGAGGCCCUCGUGCAGCAGCAUUGUUCUCUAGCAUCUCCUAGGAAUGCACGGGAGCUUCAUAGCACCCCUCCCCCAUCUCAGCACAGUCCAAGUGAACAGCUUGAUCGUCCUGCAACACCUCAGCCUUACAAUUCAGAGCCCAAUCUUGCUGCCUCUCGCCAAGAUCCAGUUGAGCCCCGGCAUCCUUCUCCUUCAGAGUCCUGCUAUUGCCCUGCUGCACCUCACCGGGAUCCUGAAGAGCCCCAUCACUGUCCUCCUCCAUCUCAACCAGGUCAAUCUACUCCCCACUCUGAUUCGGAACCUCCUCAACCUGAAUCCAAAGAGCCCCAGCAGAGUCCUGCUGCUCCUAAGGAGGACCUCAUAGAGUUCCAUCACAGUCCUUCGCAUCAUCCUGAAACGCAGUCGCCCACAGAUUCGCGUUCACCAUUUCAUCAGGACCCAGUGGAACCUGGCAGUGAUCAUGCAGCAUCUCACGCUGAACUAGCAGAGAAAUGUCUUGAGCCACCCGAUCAGGACCCAGCACAACUCCAUCAACAUCCUGAAUCUGUGGAACGUACACCUGCAACGCAUCAAUCUGAACACUCUGUGCUUCUCUACAGUCCUGCAUUACUUUGUUUUACAACCACAGAGAUCCAGAACAGUCCAUCACAAACUCAGGCUGAUCCACCCGAUUUUCAUCGUAGUCCAACGUCACAACUUCCCCCCACAGACCUCCCUCACAGUCCUGAGCCCAAAGAGCUUGUUGGUAAUGUUGCACAGCUUCACGGUGAUCCCACAGAGGCUCCUCCUAGUCCUGCACCCACUCUUGCUAAAAACCUGGACUCGCCACAGGGUCUUUCUUCUCAUUUUGAGCCUGCAAAGCUUCACGUAACUGCUGUAUCUUCACAUGCUAAUACUGAAAAAAGGACAGAUUCUACAAAUCAAGAAAACCACUUGGGAACUAACUCUUCUCCAACAGAGCACCCAGAAGACCCUUCGCUUGCUCCCGAUCAAAUAGCAGUCCAGGAUAGGCCCAACAUUUGCAUUAUCGGCCCUGCAAGAAUGCAUCAGAGUUCUGCCAAUUUAAACGAAAUGCAGAAUAGCUCUGAUCAACUCGGCCACCACAAAGCCACUAGUACUAUCAGUAGUUCCCCUGAAGACCAGUGUACAGCUACAACAUUUCCACAUAGUCCAGAGCAGGAAAGUUUGAUGUUGUGUAGCGAUGCCCCUUCUCCCAGUCAGAUGCAGCUUCAGCCAGGACUCUCCAACAUUCAGCAAACACCACCACCAGACACUCCAUGCCAGCAAAGCCUUCCGCUGCUUAGACCUGCACAAGACUGUGUAUCAGAACUAACGCCACAUCCUGCAGAAGAUCCUGAACCCCCCCUAGUCCAGGAAGCUUCUGAAUCAACUAGUCAAGUUCUGUUACCCCGUAGGGACGCUCACACCAUUUUCAAGUCGGACCGAGACUGCUCACCAGUCUAUUGUAGGUCAACGAGGACAGUAAUCAAACAGGCCUCUCCAAAGUCUUUGUCUGCUCCAUGCAGCCCGUCACCAUCUCAGCCUCCCAUCAAGUGCAGUGUCUCACAACCCUCUAGCCCAGUGCCCUCCCAGUUCAAGUUAGGGUCAUCUCAGUUUGUUGUCCAGUCAGAAGUCACUUUUAAAUGCGACAACAGAAGUGAGGUGUUGUCUUUGGACUGUUUCCCCAUCCAGAUGGGACUUGCUGAGAAAAGGCAGACCCUGGAAAAAAGUCAGGACUCUCUUAGCCCCGUCUCCAAUGUAUCGCCAAUGGCAACCAGUGACACAGAUGACAAACUCUCAAAGAGUCUUACUCCUGCUUUAAGUGGCAGACUUGACACAGAUCAUCUCAGCCUAGCUUCUGUUCCUUCCAAACCCACACUUCAAAGCCUUUCUCCACACCCCAGUGAAGCUUUGGUUCCUCUCCCACCCCAGAGGCCUUGUGACAGCUUUUUAUGUUGCACAGAACCUAAUGACAUGCUCGAAACGAGGUCAGUAAGUCACAGUCCUCAACAUACCAGUCAGAUGCCUACAAUCUCAGCUGCCUCUCUUCCAGCUUGUCCUUUAACAGGGGAGCCCAGUCCUGCCACUGAUGAAGCCUCAUGCCAACCCAGUAACCUCUUUGAAUCACCUGUUAGAUCUCCAGAGAGCUCACACGCUGUAACACCUCCCCCCACGUACCUUAACUUGUUUCAGUCAAACAAAAAUGAAGGAGAGGCCCAGCUCCCCCAUCCUUCUGUUGAACCAGAAACAGGUGACCUGUGUUCUUCUGCAGACAGUCUGGAUCAUGAUAGCAUAGUUCAUAAUGCAGCUACGAUCAGUGAUGGCCCAAGAGACUCUGUUCAUGAUCAAGAGAAGAUCCUUUUCACUGUUUGUGGUUCAGCAGAGGUCACACAGACAAAUGUAAGUCCUCCACGUUCUGCUCAGUUAAGUGUCCCAAACCCGGAUAGUCCUUCACAGACAACAACCUUGACUAGUUGUGGGCCUUUACCCUGUAAGCGCACUGUGAGCCACGAUGACCAGGCCACCUUCUCACCUGCGAAAAGAACUGAGACUCACUCAAGUCACUUUCCAGAUAGGUCUUGUCACGUUGGUCCAGGUAAUCCUGUUAAUGUUGAUACCCCCUCCGUUAAUUCUCCCUCAGGUGCCUCAGCAAGCACCACACAGAGCAGCCUUGCACAAACUACCGCAGAGUUUGUAAGUUCACCACACAGUCUAGCUCAGUCCAAUAAAUUAUGCUGUAGCCCCCAACACAACCCAGUUCUAAACACUGAAAACAAACCUGGACCCAGUUCAAGUCUCAAGGUUGACAUUGAUGUCAGUUCAAAGAUGCUGAAUUCUUUUCUCCCCUCUUUGGUUAGUUUUGAAUCUGGUCCUGAGAAACCCGACAAUGUUGGGGAGAUGAUGCCAGAGCCUGUAAGUUCCUCACUGUACAACAAGUCCACUGUGGUGAGCCAUUCUCCAGAUGCUGCACACCAUACCCUCAACCCGUGUGUCACUGACAGCCAACAAAGCCCUGGCUCCACCAGUCCCCUGCCUCUCAGAGCAGCCAACUCGGCUGAUAUUAGUUCCAGUCUGGCUAGUCCUAGCCCCCAGAGUCCUGUCUGCUGUAGUCCCUCUCAGGUUAGCAGUUCAAUGCGUAGUUGUAGCCACAUUACUGGAGCUCCUGUGUGCCCUCAGGCUCUCUCUCCUCAUCGUGUGACCAGUAGCCCAGCUACCAAUCCUAAGUGUGGCUCUUUGCAGUCAAGUAACAGACAAGUGCAUCCAAGUCCAGUCUCUGGCCACUCGGAAGACACCCCCAGCCCAGGUCCUGAUAGCCCACUGCUGUGUUUUCAUGCUACGUUAACGAGCGUCCCGCAGAACAUUCAAACUCAGAGGGAGUCUGCAGCUGCUGAAUAUCCCAACUUGGCAGAAGAAGUGAUGGCAUCAGAGAAGGUAAUUGAAGAAAAUGAGAAGAGAGAGGAUCCACCACAGGAGAAGCUACCUGAGGAGUCAGGUGAGGGUAAAGACCCAAGAGGAGAAUCGCAUCCAGAGGAGAAGCAGAGCAGCUUCAGCUGUUCCACUGGAGUCCAGCAGGAGGUCCCUACUGAUGCCCCCGUUUCCCCCCUACCUGCACAGCCAGCUCCUCACUCCCCCGACCUCAUCAAUCUUCAGUCGGCCUCGCCCCCAAACCAGCCUACAGUUCCCUCCCCUGCAGAUCUACUCUCGCCAUGUCAUCUUCAUGGAGCGAACUCUCUAGACUCCUGCACUUCUUCCCCUCACAGGAAUUCCUCAUCCUCCUGCUGCUCACCCCAUGCCCCACCCAUCCCUUCUCCUGUGGAUUUGCACUCCAAAGAGGAGCAGCUGUCUAAUCGUCAACCAUUAGAGGAGGCCUCAGGAGAAACGUUGAUGCUGAAUAACCAAAGUGUCUCCUAUAAGGUGACCUUGGAUGGUGAUGAUGGACAGUCAGAGCGACAGGCCACACCUGUUCCUGUAGAAACGGAGCCCACCACUGAUGAAUCGCAGUCACACAGUAGGCCUUUAGAGAGGAGAAAGGAAGGUUCAGCAACACCAGAGCCAGCAUCAUCACAUACAUCUGAGGAGGUACCGGGGGCAAGAAAUUGGAUGGAAGAGGAGGAGGAGGAACUGCAAGAUAAGUCAGAAGCAGAGGAAGAGGAAAUACCUAUGAGUCCUGUGCCUGAGCUGGACCCAUCGCUAGAUGAUGUGAUGGAGGUGAUGACUUCUGCGUCUCCUCCCUUGACUCUUCGAAACCCCUCUUCUCCCAGCCCAGUUUUUUUCUAUGGCCGGGGGAAGGAACAGGGUUUGGCACGUCCUCCCUGCUCUUCUAUGCCUUCAGAUGACCUCUCCAUCCGUCUUCGGCUGUCUCCCUUCUCCACCGAGGCCUCCCCUGAGACAUCACCCACAAGAGUUCCAAUCACCCCCCCUCCUCUCUCUCCAGCUUCACCUCAUCCCCACUCCUCCCCUGACAAAAACUUUGUUCCCUUGUCUAAGGCUCCCCCCACCCUUCUGCUACCCUUCACUCCUAAAAUUGGAAUGGGGAAACCAGCAAUUUCCAAGAGGAAAUUCUCACCUGCCAGAGCAAGAAUCAAGCAGGUUUGGAGUGUGAGUGUGGUCAUCAAAGAGAGCAAGCGUCAGAGAGAGAGAGAGCAUUGGAGAGAGUGA